rnacentral:rRNA from 1 species
GUUAAGCGACUAAGCGUACACGGUGGAUGCCCUGGCAGUCAGAGGCGAUGAAGGACGUGCUAAUCUGCGAUAAGCGUCGGUAAGGUGAUAUGAACCGUUAUAACCGGCGAUUUCCGAAUGGGGAAACCCAGUGUGUUUCGACACACUAUCAUUAACUGAAUCCAUAGGUUAAUGAGGCGAACCGGGGGAACUGAAACAUCUAAGUACCCCGAGGAAAAGAAAUCAACCGAGAUUCCCCCAGUAGCGGCGAGCGAACGGGGAGCAGCCCAGAGCCUGAAUCAGUGUGUGUGUUAGUGGAAGCGUCUGGAAAGGCGCGCGAUACAGGGUGACAGCCCCGUACACAAAAAUGCACAUGCUGUGAGCUCGAUGAGUAGGGCGGGACACGUGGUAUCCUGUCUGAAUAUGGGGGGACCAUCCUCCAAGGCUAAAUACUCCUGACUGACCGAUAGUGAACCAGUACCGUGAGGGAAAGGCGAAAAGAACCCCGGCGAGGGGAGUGAAAAAGAACCUGAAACCGUGUACGUACAAGCAGUGGGAGCACGCUUAGGCGUGUGACUGCGUACCUUUUGUAUAAUGGGUCAGCGACUUAUAUUCUGUAGCAAGGUUAACCGAAUAGGGGAGCCGAAGGGAAACCGAGUCUUAACUGGGCGUUAAGUUGCAGGGUAUAGACCCGAAACCCGGUGAUCUAGCCAUGGGCAGGUUGAAGGUUGGGUAACACUAACUGGAGGACCGAACCGACUAAUGUUGAA